GUCGCACCCCAUCAAAACGAUUAUCAUGGUUUGGUUGGUAGAUUAUUUCCUUACUAGUUUCUCUUUGUACCCCUCUCUGGGAUAAAACAGUUUAGCUUAAUAGUGUUUAUAUCAUCAACUAUUACACUUUACCAGCAUAUGAAGAGUUGCAUUUCGCGAAAGGUCGUGUAUGUUUUGUUUCAGUUAACAGAUAAACCGGAAGUAUCUUUUUGACCAAUCAAAUAUCAAGUUUUAAUUUAGCCCUAAGCGUAAACAUGGAUGCGCCCUGUGUUUUCUUCUAACGAAGCAAAGUUGUGAAAUUUUGCAAAAGAGGUCUUACGUGUUGUUAUUGUUCAAUGAAAAGUUGAAAAAGUACUAGAAACAAAAACAUAUAUGAUAUUGAACUCUUUAGUGUACAGAACUAGUUUUAUAUGUUGUUUCAUGAAAAAAUACACGCGGUGAAGACCGUCGACGAUUUGAUCAUUGUCCGGCGUUGUGAAAUCCGAGACGUAACUAGUCAUGAGUCGGAAGAGGACACAAGCACUUCCUGAUAUUUAUAAACCAAAAAGAAGGUUAUGUUCAGCAGCCACAACAUUGGCCAGCAAUGGCCAGACAACAAUCAAUGUAUUACAUGGAGAAAUCGACAAUGUAAUUCUUAAUGACACUCACACCUUUUUGAAUCGGCUGAGGGGACUUUUCCCUGCAGAUAAAUUUAAGCAUAAACUGCCACCAAUUGUCCUGAAGCACCAGCUAUAUGGAAUGAUGAAUGACCGAACCAAAGUGGAUCAGGAGCUGAAUGACCUAAGGAAACACGGGCUGAUCAAGUUGUUCAAACUGGGACCGGAGGCGGAUGAGUACUGUAUUCUGUUUACCAGUGACUACGAGGAACAUGUGAAACAGACAAUGAAAGGCUUGUCCAUCAGUCCUUUAUUGAUAGAGAGAUUUAGUUCUAAUGUUGUCAAAAAGUGUCAAGAUGUCUGUGUGACUAAAGAGACACUUAUGAAGGAUUACAGAUUCUCUGACUCGGAAAUAACACAACUUGUGAAAGCCUCUGUGAUAACCGUGAAAGACAUUGGAAACUGGUGGCUAGCUAUUCCCAAUGCUGGCACAUUUAUGAAGUGUUUUCUCCGAGGCAGGAAAGCUGUCCUUACAAUGAUCAGGAAGUGUAAAUACAAAGAAAUACUCAGAAAGGAUCUAGAACAACGAAAAUGGCCAAAGAUCUGUCGCCUUGGAUUGAUAUACCACGUACAUGAUAUAAUAGGAGGAGAACUAGUCCACUGCGUUCAGACUACCUCAGGACAACUUCUAAGACUAAAAGAAUGACAGUGCUACGCAUUUUUUGUUUAAGUGAUGGAUGUAUGAUUGAGAGAAUCUCAAAGCCUCGGUGGAGUAAACGGUGACAGAUCACAAGGUCGUGGGUACACCUGGUACCUGUUUACCUCACCCCAAAUUUGUAAUUCCAAAUCAAAAUGCCAUAAUACCAUGGUGAUCUAUUUAUUGUUUAAAACACACAGGGUCUAUAUAAGCUAAUGCACAGAUAAUACUACAAGUACAAGUCUCUUGGAACUUGUUAGCUGUCUUUGCAAUUUGUGAAGUUACUUUUCAAUAGCUGUUGGGAGGCCCACAUUUCACAUCAACAUCAUCAAUAAUAUCCUAUACUUUUUUUUAUUCUUUGAAUUGGUUUUUGUGGAUAAUUUUAAGGUAUCCAACUGGUUUUUCCCCCACAUUUUAUGAGACAGAGCUGCAGGCAUACAUCAUUUCUUUGAUACACUGGAACUGUCGUAAAUGUAGGAUGUGUUAGUCUGAAAAAAACGUUUUCUCUAUGUUUAUGUCAAGAAAUUGAAAUAUGUUCUUUUAAAAUUCAGUGGUACAGCAAAAAUUAUUCCAAAAGAUUUGUUGAGGGGAACAAAAAUACAAGGUUUCAAUGUUUUAUGAAACUGUGUGCAGUACUUUUUAUCUGUGCCAUCAGCAUUAUAUACUUGUGUUUAUUUUAUAUUUUACACAGUAAUUCCUUUAUAAGCUCUAUCCUGUAAGAACAUAUGUUUAAUCAUGUAUGUACUUGAGUUUACAAGCAUUAGACAUAUGUGAUGACGUCAACAAACCCACAAAGUAUUCAGAGUCCUCCAUAUUGUAUUUUGUAUCACAUGAUUUUAUUAAAGAUUAUGAAGUCAGCUGACACAAAAGUUCAAUGAGAGAACAAUUAUCCAGUGCUAUACAGGAUUUGUUAAUUGAUCAAUUCCAUUAUUUGGGUACUUCAUAGUUUGAAAUAUUUUGUGUUUCCUGCUAAAACAAAGCUACAUAAUGUCAGUGUUUGGGAGUAAGUAGAUUUGGUGUCGUCAAUAACAUGACACUACCCCAGUUAGUAUAAGUUUUUCUAUAUUUAAAUUUCCAAAAUUACAGAUAUUGAAUGUUUCUUACGAGUUUUUGAAUCAUUUUCUGGUAGUGUCCCACUAUGGUGAGUUUGAAGCAUUUUCUGGUAGUGUCCCACUAUGGUUAACGUACCAAUUUUGUUAACACUGUGUUAUCUUCUUUCCUUUGGAAUUCCAGAAUUGCAGACUUUCGAAAUAGGAAGAACUAAAUAUUUGUGUCUGUAUUACAGAUGUUCAUCCAUCUGACUUAUUUUGUGAUAUUUGGUGGGGAAUUGGUCCUUAUAAGUGAGGACUAGUGAAUGCAAGCAGGAUACAAUAUGUGUCGAGUCCCGCUACAUGGCAGGUAGAUCUGUCAUACUGGCAGUAUGGAAGGGAGGCAAUUCAGGCUAGCAGAAAGUCCCCAAUUUGUCAUCCGAUAUGAUUCUUUUUAACUUCUCUGGCACUCCAUACAUCUGAUCUUAUAUUUGGCUUCCGUCUGUUUGUCAAUUUUAUAUAUUUUUUCAACUGCUUCUCAACCUAGUUAAAGUUUUUAACCACUCUUCAUACAAAAAUUAAGAUCACUGAUAGCCAUGAAAAAGUAAUACUGUUUUUUUCAGCCUAUUCGAAAUCCAUAAUGGUUGUGCUAGCCUCUGAUUGGCCAAGGCAGUUUUCAUUUUAAAGCUGAUCAUUUAUAACCAGUCUUGGUGCAAGGUUUAAUAUUUCAUUCAAAUGAAGCCGAUUUAUGCAAGGAGACAAUGCAAACUAAGUUCAGCAGGUUUUAUAGCCCUGAUAAGGAAUCUAACUGAUGUGUGAAACAGACCCCAUGUGCCUCUUUUUAUUGUUAUGUCCUACAGCCAUCCCUAAUUUUAUUUUAUGUCACUUUUCUACACUUAUACCUGUUGUUUGCUGCCUUGUUCCAUUUAUCUUUCAACUCCUGAUAAUUUGUAUCUAGGUUAAUGUUGUUUGUUAACAUAUAUGUAAAAUAAUGAUUUUAUUGUUAAAUGCAUGUGGUGUAAAACCGUUACAUUCUGUAUAUAUGUUAGUCAAAUGCCUGCUGUUUUAUAAUAAUGUCUGAUUGUUUAAAGCUGUGAUUUCCCUGUUAUUUACAGUUUUGUUGAGAAACAACCUGUUCUGUUGUUUGUUUUAAAAUUUGUUCUUUAUGUGUUUAUCCUUACAUUACAUAUGUGUGGUUAUUGCUACGAUACCUGACCUAGCUGUUACAAACAUUGCAGAUAGUCCCCUCAUUGGUUCAGGGUUAAAAUGUAAAACACCUGUGUAAUACACAGGUUAGUCCGAGUUUCCUCUGGCCCCGACACCAGACUUAGACAUAUUGACAGAUAGAUGUCUGGUGUGUGUCUAAGUCUGGUCGGGGCCAGAGGAAACUCGGGCUAUAAUCAGGGAGGCUAGUCCUAGGGCACUUCACUAAUUCUCAAUUUACACAUUAUGCAUUUCAAAAUAUGACUCAUUUUUGUAACUUUUUAAUAAGUGGGUGGGCUUAAGACCGGGCACUGGUUUAUCACAGGUAAACUACACCGUUACAUAGAAUUUGUCCGAGAACUGUCCUUACUUGUUUUUAUAUUAUGAUAACUGGUACAUAUAAUACAACUGAACAUACUGACAACAGAGGAAAUCUCUCCUUAGUGUACAGUGUUUUGAAGAUAAUCCUUUGGAAUCUUAUCAAAAUUUUGUGUAUUUACUAGAAUUUACAUAGCAUUAAUUCAAGGUGGGAAAUGUGUUCAUCUCAAUGGGUCCUUUACCAAUCUUUACAUGUAGCUGUAUGUAGGUGUCAUUAUAAAGCAUCAUGCAAUAAUACUGCAUGUAUAUAAAAGUUAGCUCCAAAGAAAAUAUAUUCCAAACAUUUUGUAUUGGAAUUUAAUUAACUUCUGAGGUAUUUUCCAUUAUCAUUGAAAAGAUUGAUUUCCUUAAAACAGUUGUAUUGAUUUGUACUCAAACUAGUUGUAAUUUUAUACAAGCUGUAUUUAUAAAGUUUGAUUUUAUCUGAAAUCUGUAAAUAAACAAUCCUAGAUUGGGAAAGAUUUGUUUUUCUCAAUACAUCUUGGUCUUCAUAAUCUUAGUGUUUCAUGCUAGGUCUUUGUGUAGAGGUAAUAUGGGAUGUUCUCUUUAAGUCUGGUGUUCAUUUUGAAGAGUUGUCCUUUACAGCCAAGUGUUCUGUGUGGAGGUGUCCUUUACAGCCAGGUACAUUGUAGAGACGUCCUUACUAGCCAGGUACUUUGUAGAGAUGUCCUUACUGGCUAGGUACUUUGUAGAGAUGUCCUUACUAGCCAGGUACUUUGUAGAGAUGUCCUUACUAUCCAGGUACUUUGUAGAGAUGUCCUUACUAGCUAGGUUUUGUAGAGAUGUCCUUACUAGCCAGGUACUUUGUAGAGAUGUCC
rnacentral:misc_RNA from 1 species